rnacentral:rRNA from 1 species
UUUAAAUUUAUUUAAGUUGGCGGCAUUUUUCUAAUAGAGGAACUUGUCCCUUAAUUCGAUAAUCCCCGAUAAACCUUACUUCUUUUUUUAAAUUUAUAUACCGUUGUUUAAUCUAAAUUUAAAAAUACAUAGAUAAAAUAUUCAUAAUAAUAAAAUGUCAAAUCAAGGUGUAGUUCAUAAAAGAAGAGGAGAUUAGUUACUUUCAAAAAACAUAUUAAGCCUUCUAGAAAUACAUGAAAAAUCUUAGAAGCAGGAUUUAUUUGUAAAGAGAAAAUAGCAUGUUCAAUUGAAUAAAACAAUAAAAUUGUGUACAUACCGCCCGUCGCUCGCGGGA